rnacentral:rRNA from 1 species
UACGAAGGGGGGCUAGCGUUGCUCGGAAUCACUGGGCGUAAAGCGCACGUAGGCCGAUUGUUAAGUCAGGGGUGAAAUCCUGGAGCUCAACUCCAGAACUGCCCUUGAUACUGACGGUCUCGAGUCCGGGAGAGGUGAGUGGAACUGCGAGUGUAGAGGUGAAAUUCGUAGAUAUUCGCAAGAACACCAGUGGCGAAGGCGGCUCACUGGCCCGGUACUGACGCUGAGGUGCGAAAGCGUGGGGAGCGAACAGG